CGGGGUGCAACAGGCGCGAAACCUCUGCAAUAGGCGAAAGCCUGACAGGGUUACUCUGAGUGAUGCCCGCUAAGGGUAUCUUUUGGCACCUCUAAAAAUGGUGCAGAAUAGGGGGUGGGCAAGUCUGGUGUCAGCCGCCGCGGUAAUACCAGCACCCCGAGUUGUCGGGACGAUUAUUGGGCCUAAAGCAUCCGUAGCCUGUUCUGCAAGUCCUCCGUUAAAUCCACCCGCUUAACGGAUGGGCUGCGGGGGAUACUGCAGAGCUAGGAGGCGGGAGAGGCAAACGGUACUCAGUGGGUAGGGGUAAAAUCCAUUGAUCUACUGAAGACCACCAGUGGCGAAGGCGGUUUGCCAGAACGCGCUCGACGGUGAGGGAUGAAAGCUGGGGGAGCAAACCGGAUUAGAUACCCGGGUAGUCCCAGCUGUAAACGAUGCAGACUCGGUGAUGGGUUGGCCUCGAGCCAACCCAGUGCCGCAGGGAAGCCGUUAAGUCUGCCGCCUGGGGAGUACGGUCGCAAGACUGAAACUUAAAGGAAUUGGCGGGGGAGCA
rnacentral:rRNA from 1 species